CCUUGGACCAUCGUCCUGGGGGCUCCAAAGUGCUGUUCGUGCAGGUAGUGUGAUCACCCGACCUACUGCUGAGCCAGCACUUCCCGAGCCCCAGGGACACUACCGCCUGCCAGUC
rnacentral:miRNA from 1 species